rnacentral:rRNA from 1 species
CAGGCCUAACACAUGCAAGUCGAACGAGAUCUUUCGGCGUCUAGUGGCGCACGGGUGCGUAACGCGUGGGAAUCUGCCCUUGGGUUCGGAAUAACAGCGAGAAAUUGCUGCUAAUACCGGAUAAUGACGUAAGUCCAAAGAUUUAUCGCCCAGGGAUGAGCCCGCGUAGGAUUAGCUAGUUGGUGGGGUAAAGGCCUACCAAGGCGACGAUCCGUAGCUGGUCUGAGAGGAUGAUCAGCCACACUGGGACUGAGACACGGCCCAGACUCCUACGGGAGGCAGCAGUGGGGAAUAUUGGACAAUGGGGGCAACCCUGAUCCAGCCAUGCCGCGUGAGUGAUGAAGGCCCUAGGGUUGUAAAGCUCUUUCACCGGUGAAGAUAAUGACGGUAACCGGAGAAGAAGCCCCGGCUAACUUCGUGCCAGCAGCCGCGGUAAU